GCAGCAAGAUGAGUGUCUGAUCUGAUAUUUACCAACCUUCAUCAGUACGAUUGUUCAGAAAGUUUAGGUAGCUGCUGGUGGCUUGGCUUUCUUUGUUCUCACAGAAGAGGGCAAAACAUUUUCAAAGAUUUUCUUUUUUCCAGCUGGUUAAGACCUAUGAGGAGAGCAUCAUUUCCUCCCUUGUUUUAGUUUGUUCAAGCAAAGGCAAAAAUAUACAAGCUCCUUCCUGCGAAUUUGUCAGGAGAGAUCCGAGCUUUUCCCUCUUCUGAGGCAGUAAAUAGCACCAUCUUGUGUACUGUGUCCUGACACAGCCUGGCCGUCAAAUGGGCUCCUACAGGAAGAGAGGAUUGUGUGACUAGGGAGCUGCUAUCACACAGGUUUGUUAAGCUCUAAGCCAGGGGUCAGGGAACUUUUUUACCUUUUACCCCCCCCCAAAAAAAAAUUUAUAUACGCCGACAUUACUGCCCUGAUUUGAAAGGAAGGAAACCAUACAUUAUUUGAAUUAAAAAUAUUAUUGAAACUACACAGGCUGUGUACCGAACUAGCAGGAU
rnacentral:lncRNA from 1 species